CCUCAAACUCCUGGAUUCAAGUGAUCCCCCUGCCUCAGCCUCCUGAGUAACUGGGACUGUAAACAUGACAGCCGCACUUCACAGUUACACUGGGGCUGGAUGAGUCAGGACUUUUGCUCUCAAAUCUACAGGUGGGUUAGGAGAAAACUGACAUGAGCUCAGUCAGAGUUUAUUGCCACCUUCCUGGUGCCGUUUCUUCUAGCCAGCUACUGCUCUGGGUUUGAGGAGAAAGGGCCUACUCAUUUGCAAUGGCUAAGAAGUGAGAUGGUGCUGCCAGAGUGCCGACCCCCGAAUCCUCAGGGGCCCUGGCCUCUCCUGGCAGCAUCCACCCAUUCUGGUUACCAUGCCAGCCCUCCAGACUAUGGCUCAUUUGUUCACUAGAGGGCUUGGUAGCUUGGCAGUUUGGGGAAAGCGGGAGGCACUUCCCAGGGGAAGACCAGAGAAGACCAGCCCCCAGCCCCACAAACUUCCUGCAGCCUGCUGGUGCAGAGGGAACUCUUGCCAGUUUACUACCAGAUUUCAUGAGAUGUUGGCAGGCCUGGGGGGCACCUCAGGGAGAGUGCGUUCCCAGCCCUUUCAUUCAUGGUAAAUGACACCCCUGGGGCAUACAGUGAUGUUAGGUUUUUCUCUGAAACUUCUUUGAUCUUUUAAAACCAGAUUCUUAGCAUGGAUUGAGCCAGAUCUGUUCCUUACCCCCUUUUUCCAAAGAGGACGGUGCACCCACAAUUUUACCAUAACAUAUUGGGAUCUCAGGCCUGAAGAUGACCCAUUCUUUGUAAAUAAGUUGGAUUUUCCUCAUAAUAUGUGUGGGUUUUUUUGGUGGGGGAGGAGGGGGCAGGGUUCCGCUCUGUCAUCUGUCACCCAGGCUGGAGUGCAGUAGUGCAAUCAGGGCUCACUGCAGCUUUGACUUCCCAGGCUCAAGCAAUCCUUGUGCCUCAGCCUCCUGAUGCUGGGAUUAUAGGCGUGAGCCACCGCGCCUGGCCCCGGGCCUUUAUUUUUAUUUUUAACCUUUUGACAAGACACGCUUUCUAUUAGAGCUGCUUUUUGUCUCCCUGGUUCGAUUUCCUGAUGUAGAAUCAUUGUGUUGCUGAUUUUUCAGUUGAAAAUGUUUAAACUGCUUCCUUUGAGAACAAGUUUGAGUUUUAGUAAGCUGUAAAGCUGUUUUAUUUGAUUCACUGUGAAUAAGACAAGUACAAAAAAAAAAGUGAAAACACAGCACAUUUCAAGUGUAAUCCCCUUUGGAAUUUUUCCAAAGUCUUAGUAUAUGUCUUUGUGACAGAAAAACAUAGAUGGGACAGGUAAAUGAAAUGUUCCUAGUUGCAUAGCUGUUAACCA
rnacentral:lncRNA from 1 species